UUAAGCACCUGUUCCCGUAUGAUCACCGAAGUUAAGCAUAUUCGAGCCUGGUCAGUAAUUAAAUGGAUGACCACUUGAGAAUACGACGUGCCGUAUG